AGUUCUGGAGACGAGGCAGAGCUCACUUGUUGAGGGUUUGUAAAUGUGGUUACUUGCCUGUGCAGCGUGAUUUUGUGAGACCGGAAGAGGACAC